rnacentral:rRNA from 1 species
CGUAAGUCCGUGCCAGCAGCCGCGGUAAUAAGGGGGGGGCAAGGGUUUUUCGGAUUUAUUGGGUUUAAAGGGUCCGUAGGCGGAUCUAUAAGUCAGUGGGUAAAUCGCACAGCUUAACUGUGAAACUGCCGUUGAUACUGUAGGUCUUGAGUAAAUUUGAAGUGGCUGGAAUAAGUAGUGUAGCGGUGAAAUGCAGAGAUAUUACUUAGAACACCAAUUGCGAAGGCAGGUCACUAAGAUUUAACUGACGCUGAGGGACGAAAGCGUGGGGAGCGAACAGGAUUAGAUACCCCUGUAGUC